UCAGACUCCGCUCCGGACAAAUGAACCGAUGAAGCAUUGUUCGGAGC
rfam:Intestinimonas butyriciproducens strain AF211, complete genome.